rnacentral:misc_RNA from 1 species
UCAAACUUGGUCAUUUAGAGGAAGUAAAAGUCGUAACAAGGUCUCCGUAGGUGAACCUGCGGAGGGAUCAUUACAGAGUUUACAACUCCUUAACCCUUUGUGAAUUUACCCUUUUUGUUUCUUCGGCAGGUGGUCUCUGGGAGGGACCAUAGAGCCUAGUUUUAGGUACCUGCCGAAGGCCACAACUCGGUUAUACUGUUUUGUGUCUAAGUCAUUAUUACAAAUAAGUCAAAACUUUCAACAACGGAUCUCUUGGUUCUGGCAUCGAUGAAGAACGCAGC